CCUACGGGAGGCAGCAGUGGGGAAUAUUGCACAAUGGGGGAAACCCUGAUGCAGCGACGCCGCGUGAGUGAAGAAGUAUUUCGGUAUGUAAAGCUCUAUCAGCAGGGAAGAAAAUGACGGUACCUGAUUAAGAAGCCCUGGCUAACUACGUGCCAGCAGCCGCGGGAAUACGUAGGGGGCAAGCGUUAUCCGGAUUUACUGGGUGUAAAGGGAGCGUAGACGGCAGCACAAGUCUGGAGUGAAAUGCCGGGGCUUAACCCCGGAACUGCUUUGGAAACUGUGCAGCUAGAGUGCAGGAGAGGUGAGUGGAAUUCCUAGUGUAGCGGUGAAAUGCGUAGAUAUUAGGAGGAACACCAGUGGCGAAGGCGGCUUACUGGACUGUAACUGACGUUGAGGCUCGAAAGCGUGGGGAGCAAACAGGAUUAGAUACCCCGGUAGUC
rnacentral:rRNA from 1 species